ensembl:lncRNA FAM53B-AS1 FAM53B antisense RNA 1
AGAAGGGACCAAGCACAGAGGCGGCCACUGCAGCCAACUGCACAGCUGGACCCGGGUAGGGCUCCUCCCUCGGGACCUCCAGAUGGCUCCUCACCCUUGAGGUCCCUUCUUUUUGGUCAGAGCUACUCUAGUCGCACCCACUCAGUCGUGAACUGGAGCAGCAGCCAGAGAGAGAGUAAGACAAUGGUGAAUGAGAAGAGGCCAGGUGACAGGAACCUGCAAGCUCAUCCAUCCACAAACAUCCACUGAGCACCUGCCACGGGCUGGGCCCCGUGCAUUCAACAACAACUCUCCAGACACCCUCCCUCUAGACCACGAGCUUCUCAAGGGUGAGGAGUACAGGGCCUGGCUCCAGCUCAUCCUGUUCCCUGAACUCCUCCAGCCUGGUGCCCAACACACGGAAGGCGCUCUGUGAGG